rnacentral:misc_RNA from 1 species
CAUUCAUGAUAAAUCCAUCCUGUCAAAAUACACCCAUUAACUUAUUUCUAUAAUGAAAUGGCAAAAAUGAGGUCAAAGCUCCCAUUGUAGCAGCACAUUGGUAGCAUCACUUUCAACAAAUUUAUGAACAUAAUUACAUAAAAUUACUUUUACCUUACUAAAACACUCUAGAUUUCUGUAUGAAUUACGUUUUUGAUAUUAGUUGCAUUCAUUUGUAUACUUUAGCUAAAAAUGCCUUAUUCAAAAGCAAAACAAGCGAUGAUAUAAAUAAUCAGAUCCAACAAGAAGCAUGCCUGUCAUUUAAUCUCUCCCUCCG